AAGGCGGGGUGGUGGUGGGGGGGACGAGCAGAGCGUCGCGUCGCGUCGCUCGCUUCCCUCUAGGACCGCGCCGCCGGCGGGGAGGAAGGGGCGCGUCUCCCCGGAGCCUUCGUCGCCCCGCGCCCUCCUUCCCAGGCCCGGUGCCGGAGGGGGUGGGGGUGGGCGCCCCGCGGGUCCCCUCAGGCUCGGCGGUGCCCGGGGCGGGUGUUGGUGACUUCAGUCAUUUAGGGGUUUAGUUCUGAGGAAAUAGAGACACAAGGAUUGAGUUUCUUUUGCAUAGAAAGCUACAGCUCUUCACCAGUACUCUUUUUACUUGUUCCCAUCCUUCCCUGCUCCGUAGGGGUGAACAAUUUGGGAAUUAUUUUAAACAUUCAUUUACUCCCCCUUCCCUCCCUCAGAAAUCUGCCCUGGUCCCAGAGGCAUCCACUAGACAGUGCCUGACAGGACCAGGAGAACGUUAUCAUUGCUUGCUUGCUUUGGGAGCUUCAGUAGUACCCUUUUCUCCUUUGGGGUGUAGUGCAGGGAGGCAGAAGACUUCCGUGCCACCCUUUUUGCUUAGUGUAGAGGAUCCAGGAAAAGGGGUACCUAGCAAGACACGUGACCUCCUUAAGGGAGCCAGAACUGAAGCAGCACUUGGCACGCUGAAGGAAACACCCAUCUUUAGUGUCUUUUUCGUCUUCCACUCCUUCCUCACCAAAUUUCUGCAGUUCCAUUGGAAGGAAGCCUUGAAGGUUGCAAGACAAGUCCAAGAUGUGCAGCUCUGUUGCUCCCAGGCUGUGGUUCUUAACAGACCGCCGCAUCAGAGAAGAUUACCCUCAGCAGGAGAUCCUGAGAGCACUGAAGGCCAAGUGCUGUGAAGAGGAGCUGGAUUUCCGGGCCUUGGUGAUGGAUGAAGUGGUGCUGACCAUUGAGGAUGGAAAUCUUGGUCUCCGGGUGAAAGGGGAGCUCAUUACUGCUUACCCACAAGUGGUGGUUGUGCGUGUGCCAACACCUUGGGUCCAGAGUGACAGCGACAUCACAGUCCUUCGCCACCUAGAGAAGAUGGGCUGUCGAUUGAUGAAUCGUCCUCAAGCCAUCCUCAACUGUGUCAACAAGUUCUGGACGUUUCAAGAACUUGCUGGCCAUGGUGUGCCUCUUCCAGACACUUUUUCAUAUGGUGGUCAUGAGAAUUUUUCCAAAAUGAUUGAUGAGGCGGAAGUGCUGGAGUUCCCUAUGGUGGUGAAGAACACGCGGGGUCAUCGAGGUAAAGCUGUGUUCCUGGCACGAGACAAGCACCAUUUGGCAGACCUAAGCCAUUUGAUCCGUCAUGAUGCCCCUUACUUAUUUCAAAAAUACGUUAAGGAGUCCCAUGGGAAGGAUGUGCGCGUCAUCGUAGUGGGAGGCCGUGUGGUGGGCACCAUGCUCCGCUGCUCGACAGAUGGCAGGAUGCAGAGUAACUGCUCACUUGGUGGCGUAGGAAUGAUGUGCUCACUGAGCGAACAAGGCAAGCAGUUGGCAGUCCAAGUGUCAAACAUCCUGGGCAUGGAUGUGUGCGGCAUUGACCUGCUGAUGAAGGACGACGGCUCAUUCUACGUCUGCGAGGCCAAUGCAAAUGUAGGUUUCAUUGCCUUUGACAAGGCUUGUAAUUUAGAUGUAGCUGGUAUCAUAGCGGACUAUGCCGCUUCCCUGCUGGCCCCCGGCCGCUUGACGCGGCGCAUGUCCUUGCUCUCCGUGGUGUCCACGGCCAGCGAGACUAGCGAGCCAGAGCUGGGCCCUCCAGCUGGGGCCGCUGUCGACAACAUGAGUGCUAGCUCCAGCUCUGUCGACAGCGACCCUGAGACCACGGAGAGAGAGUUGCUCACCAAGCUCCCGGGGGCUCUCUUCAACAUGAACCAGCUACUAGCCAAUGAGAUCAAGCUCCUUGUGGAGUGAUGCCACGUGUAAAUAGGUGACCAACAGAACUCUCUCUUGUAAAUUUUUUUUUUAAACCAACUUGCAAUGCUGUUUAUCAGAAACACUCAGAGGAGUGAGGAAAGGGGGGUGGGUAUAUCAGUUGAGAGAGCAAAAGUAAAAGGCACAUGUGCUGUGAUUGCUGUCCCUACUCAUUUGCAGAACAUUAAAUUGUCUUAAUUCUUCAUCAGUUUUACAGUGGAGAUGCUCAGUUCGUAACCAAGCAGCAAUUUUAUUUGGAUGCUGCUUUGGUCCCAGAUAUAUUGCAGUUCAUGUGUCUUCACAGGCAAGCAUUGAAGCGUGAUUCACACUUGAAGAUUUUCAGAAAGUUGUCUGGCAGCUCUCUAGAAACUUCUGUGAAUUACUGCACCAGUUAAGUCUCUUCUACCUCUGUAAGGCUUGAUCCUGUAAAUUGCUGAGUGCCUCAAAUUCUUUAUGUGAGUUGAAGGUGUUAAACACCAAGUAUUUCAAAAUUUCUGGACACCUGCUGUUCCUACUCUUGUAGAUGGGAGCUGUAAGUUCAGGAUCCUUUUAAAGUCAUCACUUUCUGACCUUGCAGGAUACGGCCUUUCAAAUGAUGAGGCUGUGAGAAGUGUCAGUUAACUUAAUGUGAACUUUCUGUAAAAAUCUGUAAAUUGUAUCAUCUUGGUUUUAAGUGGCAGCUUUUGUGUCUAAAUUCCUUUAUAAAGCUUUUAAAGGAGGAUACUUAUGUUUUUCUCAUUUCAAAUCCUGAUUUUGGAAGGUAUAUAGGGGAAUUGGUCAUAUCUAUUUGUGGGCAGAAAUGGCACGUUUUUAACUAUUUUUUGCAUGAUUGGAGGAGAUAAACAGCACUGUAAUGUUUGGUAUACAAAAUGAUGUUUAAUCUAAAAAUGUGAAAAAGAAUUACACUAGUUUAAAGCAAACGUGCAACGACUUGUAUUUGUUAGUGUUUUAGUCUUUCUGAGAGAGAUCUGCAAUGUUAAUGUUCCUUUUUCUUUAAUACAUGCUAGUCCAACACUCCCUUCUCUAUGCCUGCAUCUUUAACAGUGGCCAAAGUGAAAACACCGCAGACUGUUUGUUAAGAAAACACUGAGUUAGCCUGUACACUGGUGGGGGGGUUGUUUGUUUCUUUUUGUUUGCUUUUUUUUGGAGGGAGGAAUGUGUAAGGUGUGGAGGAGGGAAGAGCUGGUUAAAAGUGAUUAGUCAUCCAGAGGACUUUUAGAAUAAAGCUGCAGUUCAUACAAUACUUACCAGGCUUACUUUUUCCCCACUGAACGUAAAAAAACCAUGUUGGCAUAAACCCAAAGAGUAUAACUGGGGAGAAAAAUUCACUUCUUAGCUUUGGAAAACGUGGCAGAUUUGAAAAAGGCAAAAAAAAAAAAAAAAAAAAAAAAAAAAAAAAAAAAAAAAAAGAGAGAGCUCAGCCAGAGUUUAAAAAAAGAAAAAAAAGAAAACAACCCAGGUCCACAAACAAUUAAGGGAUUGAUCCUAGACCCUUACAUGUGUGUGGUGUGAGUGUGCACACUUGUGUGUGUUUGUGUGUGCACAAUUGUUUUGCUUUAUUUUUUUGAGGGUGUUGGCUGUUUAGCUCCUAACUUUUUUCCAGACUUCCUGAUUUUCCUUAAUCCUUCUGGCUGUGCAUUUUGUCAUUAGCCUUGAGCUGGUUUGGAAAACAGAUAACCAAAACAGAUACUGAGUCCAUUUUUCAGUCCCUGUCUUCCUCCUCCUUUUCCUCCUCCUUCUCCCUUUUCAUUCCCUCUUAUUCUUGGGGUUCAUAAAGCCCUGGAACUAUAUAUAUAUAUAUAUAAAUAUAUAUAUAAAGAUAAGCCUCUUUUUUAAAAACAAAGUAAAACGUUUACAAUUGAAAAAUCAUCUUGUGAAACUAGGUUUGUUUGAGGGGGGUUGUGUGUGUGCAAUGCUGCUGUUUUCUGGAUACUUUAAUGGAGCAUGUCUCAUGUACCCUCUGAGGUUCUGCACUGCCCACCUCUGUGGCCCUUCCUCACCUCUCUGCUGCUCUGCUGUUUUACCUUCACUUGGACCUUAAACACAACUCACGGACACUAUGCAGAGAGUCUUCAAGAGGCAAUAAACAGAACAAUAUUAACCUACUUUAUGGAGGUUUGAUCAUGCUUCUUUGUACAGUUUGGUUUUUUUUUUUAUUUUAAAAGGAAUGUAAUAAAAUGGCUUUUUUUUGUAGAAUUAAAUAUUAUUAUUAAAAUCAAGUGAAAGGUUGACUGUUGGUGUUAAGCAGGAGGGUGGACCAGCUGGUCCAGCAAAAAAACGAUCUUCAGCAGUAAAGGUAUUUUAAAGGUAUUUUCUUCUUACUGAGCCUUCAAGUGCACAGGUUAUACCUGAAGAAUAUAAAGGUCUUCAGCUUCUGUGAAGAGUUACAGAAUGACAGAACAUGAAAGUAACCUAAUUAUCUAGUCACUGAGCAGUAAACUGUCUCUUCCAAGAGCUCUACUUCCCUUGCUUGUUUAUCCAAGGGGAAUUUGGGGUGGAGGGUGGCUCUUUUUUUGUUGUUGUUGUUUUUCCUUUUUUUGUCUCUUCCUUUUUACUGGUAGGUGCCUGCAUUCCGUGACAGGCUGAUAGGAUCAAUCCUUCCCUUUCUAGCUGUGACAUACGUUGAGCACAUGUGGAGUAACAGCAGGGAGUAAACAGGUGCUAGUUGGUAUACAAAGGCCUUUGUGUUUCUAUCACAGGAAACAUCUUUUAGAUGAAAGUUAACAGAAUAUUCUGGAUUGUUUUUUUGAGUCCCUAUAGUAUCUUGUAGCUUACAGGAGCCUUACAUUUCUAGCACCUUUUCAGAAUGUCUAGGUUACACCUCACAGUUGUAAAAUUCUUGAAGUAAACAUAAGAUUUUUUAAAAAAAGACCCAAGUGGGUUGAGAGAAUUGCAGUUUGACUGCCUUCUGAUAAGUUGCUCCUCUGAUUGGUGCUUCCAUUACUAGUUUGGAGAUAAGUCUAUGCAUAGUGGUCACAGAGGGAGACAGGAUUUGAAACAUCAUGUGUGUGUGUUUGGAUAUCCGGUAUUGAUGCUGUGUGAAUACCUUGCUUGAGAGUUCAUUUGUACAAAUGGGCACAUUUGUCUCAUGUAUUUACUCCCUACUUACCCAUUGCUCCUGAAACAGUGAAAUGCAAAGAAUGGCCUGGGGAUGAAAGCAGGGUAUCUUGUUUUUACUCAAAGGGAAAAAUACCAACAAAGCUAGUCUGUGGUAACCAGGCAGUGUUUCCCAUUGAUGGUGAACUCCACAGAUGUCAGCUUUAUACACUUUAUUUUCUUCAGAUCAGUGUGCUGAAAAUCACAUGCUAAACUUCCAUACAGUUGCACUAACACUACCUCCUUAUGUGGGUUUGGAAGAAUGUGCUGAAAAAAUGGUCAACAUAGUGGUGGAUUACAGUGGUGCCAAUACAGCUGAUGGUAAUACAACUAUUUUUGUAUAUUUUAAUGUUUGAAAGAGCCAGUUAGAAACUUGUUUGCAAGAAUAAGUUUUUUAAACUACAUCUGAUGAAAUUUUGUUCUUUGUAACGCUGGAGAUUUUAUUCUGUUCAGCAUACUGUGUUUGUAAUUGAUGUCUUGCUGUCAGUGUAUGGAUUGUAUCUUAAUCCUUGUAUUUAAUGCUUUAAUGUGUUUUAUAAAAUCCUUUCUUGUAAUGUUACAACACCUUAUUUGUAAAACAGUGUCAAUGCUUGAUGUUUACAUUGACUGUUACAUUUUUUGUUCUGAGAUGACUUUCUCCCACUUCGUAUGCUAUCUUUGCUGUGUGAUAUUUACUCGGGAAAUAACCUCUGGAACAUCUGGGUGUGUCAGACGCAAAGGAGAUACUUCUUCAGAUGUUAUACCGGACUGCACAAUCCAGCAAAUGAAACCAGUGACGCUCGCUAAAUUCCCUCAUUCCAAAAAUCUGUCAGUUAAAUACAUAAGGGACCAUAAGGGCUUAGAGAGACUUUGAAAACAGAUCGUACAGUAUCUUUCUCAUGGCUCACUCUUUUUGAGAAGGUUUAUGGGCUUUAUGGCUGGUGUGAGACACACGACCCACUCCUGUUCUCUCUAUGGAAUAGUAGGUGCUUGGACAGGAGCCAAAAAAGUCAAACAAUCCAGAGAAAACCCUUUCUCCCCUUUCCGAUGGCACGAGUGAGAACUUAUGAAAAAUCCUUGCGAAUGUUCCUUCCUAAACUUUUCCCCCCAGUAAUGCAAGCGGGUAAAAUGGUAAAUGCAGCAGUUUGGUGACAUCCAAAACCAACCUAUUGUCAGGUAAAUUGACACUUUUCUGCUCUUACUCUAACCUUCAUAAGUUUGCUAACUUGUCUGCCUUCCUUUCUUCCCAUCAGUUCAUUUUGGUGAUACUUGUUGAAUGAUUUCUUUAACUGGAUUUAGAGAAAACCCUGCUUUAUUUCCUUAUUUCUCCUCCUUAUACUUGUUGACUUUUAAGAAAACUGUCAUUGUGCUUUACUUUACUCAGGUGAGACAAAAGUGAGUCCACCAUGCAACUGUAUGAGGGAUAGUUUUGUAAUACAUUAAUUUCCCUUCCUGUUUAUCAGUUUUAGAUUAUCUUCAAGUGUACCGUUGUCGCUUAGAUUUUUGAAAGAUACAGUGCUUUCCAUUUGCUAAGUGAACAUAAAAUAUAACUGCAGAAAUAAGUAGUUCAUAGGAAUGAAAAACUAGUACUAAGAAUGUUAAUUCUAUUACAAUUCAAUAGAGCAGGAUCCUGUAAAAAGGACAGAUGGACCAAUAUGUGUGCUGCAGUAAAAGACUGUUGAGCUGAUCAUUUCUGUUUGUGGAGGAUGGGGUGACACAUUUUAUCUUGCCCUUACUGCUGUAUCAAAGUGCUUGUACAUUUUAUCCUUCUUUGGUAACUCUCUCCCUUAAUCUCAAACAAUGUAAAAGUACGGGGUACUUAAUAUUUUUUAACUUAAUUUAAGGGGGAGAAUCUUGUGUUUUACUCAGAGGUAAAAUAUCAGACAAUUGGAAUACUCUUCCAAGUUAAGGAAUACUAGCCUAAAAACAGGCUUCCAAGUUUUUCCUAAUGCAGUAUUAUAUUUCCCAUGACAUCUGUAAAGAAUUAGCUCUUGUUUCAGAUUAUUUUUCUGUGUACAUUCAUUACUCCUCUAUACCGUCAUACAAUAGUCAAUUUUUCAUAGUCUCAGUUUAUAUUUCCUGAAAGAAAGCAAACUUACCAGCAAUAUAAUAAAUUGUAGCUUCAAAUUAAGGUAGGAGGGAAUCAUUUUAGAGCCAAAUUUUGCUCUCAAUUACACUGAAAUAAACCUGGAAUCACUCUGUGAAAGUCAGUAGAGUGAUAUCUGAUUUCAUUGGUAUAAUUGAGUGUAUAAUUUGUAUCUUUUAAUUUUACUUGCAAGGUAAUUUUACAAACCUGUUAUACUUAUGUUUCCAAUGCUUUUUCCUUUCAGACACACCCACUUCUUGCGUCUCAGCUUUGGGCAGGCCUAUUCCUUUAUUUGUGUAUAUUUUUGUGCAUCAGCUGCUAUAGGACGCGGGUGUAACACUUUCAGGCAUGUGGUUGGGUGUCUUUUUGGGGUUUGUAAUAAUGUCUAAAUUAAAAAUUUCUUUUCCUCAGAUUUAUUAAUUUAUUCAUGUUGGAUCACAGUUUUGCAUCUCUAACCUGACUUUAGAUAUCUACUAUGUGAACAUUUUCUUGAAAGAAAUACAGUACUAGUUCUUUGCAGAGUCUGCAAUUCAUCUUUAGUGGGGAGAGUUUACCAAAAUUUACUGCAUUUUGUAAUAUUUAAAGUUUUAAUAUUUACUGUAGCUUGAAAAGUGGUUUUAACAGGUCAUGCUCCUUCCUCUUUAUGGAAUGACUUUCAAAGCCUUGUGUUGAUCUUGGUUGUGCCCAGUGUUUUGCCUGGUGUAUGGGGAAAUGUAGAACUUGAAUAGGCCAUGACUUCUUAGACAAGGGAUGAUGAUUAUGUGCAUGCUGAACUAGAACUUCUUCUAUAUGCCCUUCUGCUGCAACAGAAUAAUAAAACUGGUAGGUGACAGCAGCAGCAGCAGAAGACACUCAUGACUGUGACCUGAGAAACCUCCAGUACUGGGAGAAAUGGAUUGCAAAGUACUAGCUGGAGUAAGGGGAAUGGAGAAGAGAGACAGAGUCCCUGAACUGUCCCUUUGAAUGGAAUCUAAGGCAUGUGGAAGAUGCUGGAUCACCAGGUGCAGAGAUUGAACUCUACCCACUGUAAAGGUUUUUCUACAGCAGCAGCAGAUCUUCUUGCCUCUCAUGGGAACACUUAGCCUUUUGAUAAUACCUCCUUCACAAUGAAGGGAAGAAAGGAUGGAUCAGCAGGGAUGUGAUGUCCACAUGUGGUGUUAACAGUCAUGAUGAUCCCUGUCCCACUAACUUGGAGAAUUGAAUAAAAAAUUGAAUUGUAAUUCA